UACGUAGGGUGCGAGCGUUGUCCGGAAUUAUUGGGCGUAAAGAGCUCGUAGGCGGUGUGUCGCGUCGGUCGUGAAAACUUGGGGCUUAACUCUGAGCUUGCGGUCGAUACGGGCAUCACUUGAGUUCGGCAGGGGAGACUGGAAUUCCUGGUGUAGCGGUGAAAUGCGCAGAUAUCAGGAGGAACACCGGUGGCGAAGGCGGGUCUCUGGGACGGUACUGACGCUGAGACGCGAAAGCGUGGGGAGCGAACAGG
rnacentral:rRNA from 1 species